rnacentral:rRNA from 1 species
UACCAGCACCCCGAGUGGUCGGGACGUUUAUUGGGCCUAAAGCAUCCGUAGCCGGUUCUACAAGUCUUCCGUUAAAUCCACCUGCUUAACAGAUGGGCUGCGGAAGAUACUAUAGAGCUAGGAGGCGGGAGAGGCAAGCGGUACUCGAUGGGUAGGGGUAAAAUCCGUUGAUCCAUUGAAGACCACCAGUGGCGAAGGCGGCUUGCCAGAACGCGCUCGACGGUGAGGGAUGAAAGCGUGGGGAGCGAACCGG